rnacentral:rRNA from 1 species
AUUGAACGCUGGCGGCAGGCCUAACACAUGCAAGUCGAACGAGUGGCGGAAGGGAGAGUUAUGUCUGGGAAACUGCCUGAGGGAUGGGGUUCACUAACGGACACGGUAGCUAAUACCGCAUAGCAUCAGAUGUGCCCAGUUGGGAUUAGCUAGUUGUUGGGGUAACGGCGUACCAAGGCGACGAUCCCUAACUGGUCUGAGAGGAUGACCAGCCACACUGGAACUGAGACACGGUCCAGACUCCUACGGGAGGCAGCAGUGGGGAAUAUUGGACAAUGGGCGAAAGCCUGAUGCAGCCAUGCCGCGUGUGUGAAGAAGGUCUUCGGGUUGUAAAGUACUUUCAGCGGGGAGGCGUUACCCGCAGAAGAAGCACCGGCUAACUCCGUGCCAGCAGCCGCGGUAAUUC